UACGUAGGGUGCAAGCGUUAAUCGGAAUUACUGGGCGUAAAGCGUGCGCAGGCGGUUCUAUAAGACAGGUGUGAAAUCCCCGGGCUCAACCUGGGAACUGCAUUUGUGACUGUAGAGCUGGAGUGCGGCAGAGGGGGAUGGAAUUCCGCGUGUAGCAGUGAAAUGCGUAGAUAUGCGGAGGAACACCGAUGGCGAAGGCAAUCCCCUGGGCCUGCACUGACGCUCAUGCACGAAAGCGUGGGGAGCAAACAGG
rnacentral:rRNA from 1 species